rnacentral:rRNA from 1 species
AUUGAACGCUGGCGGCAGGCCUAACACAUGCAAGUCGAGCGAGCAGCGGACGGGUGAGUAAUGUAUGGGAAACUGCCUGAUGGAGGGGGCUAACUACUGGAAACGGUAGCUAAUACCGCAUACCAUCAGAUGUGCCCAGAUGGGAUGAGCGAGUAGGUGGGGUAACGGCUCACCUAGGCGACGAUCCCUAGCUGGUCUGAGAGGAUGACCAGCACCACUGGAACUGAGACACGGUGCAGACCCCGACGGGAGGCAGCAGUGGGGAAUAUUCGACAAUGGGCGCAAGCCCGAUGCAGCCAUGCCGCGUGUGUGAAGAAGGCCUUCGGGUUGUAAAGCACGUUCAGCGGGGAGGCGUUACCCGCAGAAGAAGCACCGGCUAACUCCGUGCCAGCAGCCGCGGUAAUUC